rnacentral:tRNA from 1 species
GCGCGUGUAGCUCAGUUGGUUAGAGCAUCUGACUUUUAAUCAGGUGGUCGGUGGUUCGAGUCCACCUACGCGCA